UGGGGAAUAUUGGACAAUGGGCGCAAGCCUGAUCCAGCAAUGCCGCGUGGGUGAAGAAGGUCUUCGGAUUGUAAAGCCCUUUCGACGGGACGAUGAUGACGGUACCCGUAGAAGAAGCCCCGGCUAACUUCGUGCCAGCAGCCGCGGUAAUACGAAGGGGCGUAGCGUUGCUCGGAAUGACUGGGCGUAAAGGGCGCGUAGGCGGCUCAUACAGUCAGGCGUGAAAUUCCUGGGCUCAACCUGGGACGUGCGCUUGAGACGUGUGGGCUUGAGUGGGGAAGAGGGUCGUGGAAUUCCCAGUGUAGAGGUGAAAUUCGUAGAUAUUGGGAAGAACACCGGUGGCGAAGGCGGCGACCUGGUCCUUUGACUUGACGCUGAGGCGCGAAAGCGUGGGGAGCAAAACA
rnacentral:rRNA from 1 species